rnacentral:rRNA from 1 species
AUGAACGCUAGCGGCAGGCCUAACACAUGCAAGUCGAGGGGCAGCACGAUUGAGCUUGCUCAAUGGUGGCGACCGGCGCACGGGUGCGUAACGCGGUAUGCAACCUACCCUGUACUGGGGUAUAGCCCGAAGAAAUUCGGAUUAAUCCCCCAUAGUAUAUUUCAAUCGCAUGAUUGGACUAUUAAAGGUUACGGUACAGGAUGGGCAUGCGUCCCAUUAGCUAGAUGGUGAGGUAACGGCUCACCAUGGCGACGAUGGGUAGGGGGCCUGAGAGGGUGGUCCCCCACACUGGUACUGAGACACGGGCCAGACUCCUACGGGAGGCAGCAGUGAGGAAUAUUGGUCAAUGGGCGCAAGCCUGAACCAGCCAUGCCGCGUGCAGGAAGACGGUCCUAUGGAUUGUAAACUGCUUUUAUUUGGGAAUAAACCUAUCUACGUGUAGAUAGCUGAAGGUACCAAAUGAAUAAGCACCGGCUAACUCCGUG